GGCGGCUGCAGAUGACAUCUCUCAUCUGAGCACUAGAGGAAAAGAGAUGGGACCCCUUUUCCUCUAGUGGGCAGCAAACAUAUUUACCUCCUCAGUGAGCCCACGAGCCCAUCAAAGAACGUCUCUUAAGUGGCAAACAUGCUGUCCCAGCCCUGCAUGUCUCCUAAGCAACAUCUUUACAGUGUCUGACCCACCAGUUCUGGAAUAGUGGACUACAACUCGAAACAAGCAGCCUGAUAGGAAAGGACAUGGAGUUGGGGAGAAUCUGCCAGAAAAGUGAAGGGAGAUACUAUUUUUGAUUGAGUACCCACCAGCAAUUCAGACAGCAGCCGACCUGCUUGAAGACAAGUUGAGUGUAAAAUCAAAUUCAUGUCCCUCAGCAGAUGUUGUACUUGUUCACUUGUCAUAUAUGUGGUAUAGAUUAUAUUAAGACAUUAGGAUUGGCAGGUGUGUAGGUUUUAUUCUGAGAAAACAAGAAAACUUGUGUAGAAAGCUCAACAAAAUGCUUGAAAAAUCAUCAUAAACCUGAUUUUAAGUCCCUUUUCAAAAGAGAUUGGCCAUAGUGCUUUUUUUCCUGAGAGAAAUAUUGCAAUGAAGCUGUUUAGGGGUAAAACUAAAUUAUCUUGAAGUCAGAGCAAGUUCACUGCUAUUUUAAAGUAAUUGUAAUCUAGCUCCAUUGUUUAAUAAAGGCUCUUGUAAUACCUACUAAAAUAAACUUCAAUACUGUAAUAUUGAGGUGCCUCAUUUUAUAGAGUAAACAUGAAGUCUAAUUGAAAAUAUUUCUAACUCAACCGAUUAUUCAAGUAAAUAAGGGAAAGGCAACAUUUUUAAA